UACAGAGGGUGCGAGCGUUGUCCGGAAUCACUGGGCGUAAAGGGCGCGUAGGCGGCUUGAUAAGCGUGCGGUGAAAGCCCGGGGCUCAACCCCGGGUCGGCCGUGCGAACUGUCGAGCUGGAGCACUGUAGAGGCAGGUGGAAUUCCGGGUGUAGCGGUGGAAUGCGUAGAGAUCCGGAAGAACACCGGUGGCGAAGGCGGCCUGCUGGGCAGUAGCUGACACUGAGGCGCGGACAGCGUGGGGAGCAAACAGG
rnacentral:rRNA from 1 species